AUGCUCAGGCUGAAAGACGGCAGUCAACCAGCUUCUUGGUCCAAGGUGACCUACACUGUGUCGUUCCCUGCCAUCGCCUACACCCUGGGCUUGAUGCAGUCCUCUCCGGUGAAGAAUGUCAUGUACCCCAUCUGGGCCCUCUCAUUGCUGAUGGCUGCUGGGUGCACCAACGCCGUCAAGGUCUACGAGCUCAAUGACAACAGGCAAUGGAAGCAGAUGCUUUUCAAUAGUUUCCAGUAUUGCGCCUACGCUUCUUUAAUCUGCUGGCUCCUUUUGCCUUAUAGCAUGAGCAUCGUGGGAUAUUACCGCCAAUUCUUCCACAUGCUCGCGCCGUCGAGCUACUUUGCAGUUCUUAAGUCUCCUUCAAGUGUUGUCAAUCUUCUCACUAUUUGUUCUAUAUUAACGGUGCUCAUGGGCAGAGAGCUUGCAUGUCUGCUGGUUGAGUUCGGCUACUUGAGGGCCAGAGCAGUUGCCAAGUUCAUGAAGAACCUGCGUCCUGCAGCAGCAGCUAAUGGUGGUGAUGGGCUCAAUCCUGCCAGGAUGAAAGGGUACAAUUACCCUGUUCACAUUGAUGGAUUUGGCGGUCAUGUCACCAUCGACCAGAUCUGGGACUGUGAAGGCAGUCUCCUCAUGUCAGGUACUGAACACUGCAAAAAGCUCAAGGACUUGUGCCUGGCUUACGCCAUGUAUCAGCAAUUGAAGCAGCGCUACUACGGGAUGUCAUUCACUGAGGAACACCUUCAGGAAACCUGUGACUUUGUCUUCAAGGGGUUGCAACGGACAGAAGAUGACUAUGAGAGAGCUUUCCGUAUUGUGGAAAUGGAGCUGGGGUUCUGCCAUGACUACUUCUUUACAAAACAUGCUAUUAUCUUUGAACUGGAGGCAACAUUCUUCGUUCUCUUCCUCGCGAGGAUUUUUCUCAUUGCCACAUGUGUAUCCUUUGUCGUGCACCGUACACUAUCCGUCAAGACACACAGCGCUAUCAUUGAAGUGCACUCCAAAAGGGCUGACCACAUCAUCACUCUCCUUGUUUUGGCCACAUUCCUCCUCAUAGAAAUUCUUCAAGCAACAUUUUAUUUGGCCUCGGAUUGGUGCAAGGUGUCAGUUACUUGUAGGUAUGUCAACAGAUCUUGUUAUCGCCACAAUGCUUUCAUUCAGAAGCUUAUUGGAUAUAUUGGCAGAUUUGCCAUUUUCGGGUACUGGAAGAAUAAGAUUGGCCAGUACUCAAUAAUUCCGCGUAUCACUGCUGCUGAUUUGUCUGGCGACAGUCAACCAGUAAACCUGUUGCAAACAGUCAAGCGGGCUAUUGCUAGCUCCCUAAUAUCAUGUGAAUGUCCACCAACUAAUGGAGAAAGGUCAUUACAUGGGAACCAUGUCCUCGGAGAGUUUUUUUGGGCAUUGCAGGGCCAAUGUCAAACUGAGACCAUGUUAAUUUGGAGCAUCGCCACUGAUUACUGCCAUAUGACUCCCCCUACCGGGGACGGGGAGCACAUGAAUGGGGCGUCUGAAAAUGAACAAGACACAAAGGUGAGGAGGAACGUAUCAGUUUGCCUAUCAAGAUAUUGCACGUACUUGAUGAACUCUGCCCCAGAACUGCUUCCAAGACACUUUGGAGAUACAAAGUCGGCCAUGGCUGAAGUAAAAGGUGAAGCAUACGAAGCUCUAAGAUCCCAGAAUGUUUCUUCCAGCCCAGGCUUAACAUCCCAGAAUGCUAAUUCUGAAUCGGGCGGUUCGAGCUUAAGACUCCAGAAUAUUUCAUAUUUUCAGAGAAAUGAGGUUGAACUCCCAACCUUUGUUUCGAUCGAUGCAUCCCGGAAGAUUUACCAGGCUAUGAAUCGUUUACAAGACCAAGAGGAAGACAGAAGCAUCUUCAUGAGAGGUGUGAAGCUUGGCAAGCAGCUAGAGGGCAUACCGAGCAGUGCUCUUCGCUGGAAGUUAAUCGCGGAUUUCUGGGCUGAGAAGAUCCUCUACAUCGCACCAUCAGACAAUGUAAAAGGACACAUGGAACUUCUCGCAAAGGGAGGAGAGUUUCUCACCCACAUCUGGGUCCUCCUUACUCAUGCUGGCAUCCUCAAGAUUAACAGGGAGGAAGGUAACAACACCACGCCCAGGCGCCAACCAUCCCAAGGAGAUGUCUAG
rnacentral:rRNA from 1 species